rnacentral:sRNA from 1 species
CUCUCCGCCCGUGGGGAGUGGUGGGGGCCUGGGUGGGAAGGGGCGUGUGCCAGCGCACGCGCGCUCCCUGAAGGAGAGGUCUCAGCUAGAACCAGCGGCCCUAGGUUUUCGGGAGGGAGGAUCAGGGAUGUUUGCGAGCGGCUGGAACCAGACGGUGCCGAUGGAGGAAGCGGGCUCCAUGGCUGCCCUCCUGCUGCUGCCCCUGCUGCUGUUGCUACCGCUGCUGCUGCUGAAGCUACACCUCUGGCCGCAGUUGCGCUGGCUCCCGGCGGACUUGGCCUUUGCGGUGCGAGCCCUGUGCUGCAAAAGGGCUCUUCGAGCUCGCGCCCUGGCCGCGGCUGCCGCCGACCCGGAAGGUCCCGAGGGGGGCUGCAGCCUGGCCUGGCGCCUCGCGGAACUGGCCCAGCAGCGCCCCGCGCACACCUUUCUCAUUCACGGCUCGCGGCGCUUUAGCUACUCGGAGGCGGAGCGCGAGAGUAACAGGGCUGCACGCGCCUUCCUACGUGCGCUAGGCUGGGACGGGGGACCCGACGGCGGCGACAGCGGCGAGGGGAGCGCUGGAGAAGGCGAGCGGGCAGCGCCGGGACCCGGAGAUGCAGCGGCCGGAAGCGGCGCGGAGUUUGCCGGAGGGGACGGUGCGGCCAGAGGUGGAGGAGCCGCCGCCCCUCUGGCACCUGGAGCAACUGUGGCGCUGCUCCUCCCCGCUGGCCCAGAGUUUCUGUGGCUCUGGUUCGGGCUGGCCAAGGCCGGCCUGCGCACGGCCUUUGUGCCCACCGCCCUGCGCCGGGGCCCCCUGCUGCAUUGCCUCCGCAGCUGCGGCGCGCGCGCGCUGGUGCUGGCGCCAGGUAAGGCUGGAGCUCCGAACUGACCAAGGCGCGGCCAGCCACAGAAGGGGGCGUGUCGGGGACCGCAGAAAGGCUCGGUCUCAUCCCUGGGCCUGGGAAGAAGCCGACUAUCCCUUGGGGUUCGAAAGUGAGUGGAGAUAGGAGUCUCCAGGUUUGAGAAGGGAUGAGGCUGAAUCUUUGAUGCCCCAAGGAUUCCCCAAGGAGUCGAGUUCCAGGCCUCAGACCCAAGAUGGAAUGUCCAUACCCUUCACCCUCACCCAAGAGCAGUGUGGGCUGGGAUGGGGAGGGGACAUGGGUCAUAGGCUCUUCUAGGUAGAGCCAGGGCCCCGGCGUUGUGCUUUCCCACCCUUCUAGAGUUUCUGGAGUCCCUGGAGCCGGACCUGCCCGCCCUGAGAGCCAUGGGGCUCCACCUGUGGUCUGCAGGCCCAGGAACCCACCCUGCUGGAAUUAGCGAUUUGCUGGCUGAAGUGUCCGCUGAAGUGGAUGGGCCAGUGCCAGGAUACCUCUCUUCCCCCCAGAGCGUAACAGACACGUGCCUGUACAUCUUCACCUCUGGCACCACGGGCCUCCCCAAGGCUGCUCGGAUUAGUCAUCUGAAGAUCCUGCAAUGCCAGGGCUUCUACCAGCUGUGUGGUGUCCACCAGAAAGAUGUGAUCUACCUCGCCCUCCCACUCUACCACAUGUCCGGCUCCCUGCUGGGCGUUGUGGGCUGCAUGGGCAUUGGUCAGUCUCCCCAACCCCACCUUCAUUAAUUCAUCCAGCAGACAUUUAUUAAGCACAUACUAUGGUGUGAGUCCUCCAGGGUAGAUAAUCUAGAGGACGGAUGGGGCAGAGCCCUACUCACCAGGAGCUCUGUACAAUAGGGCAAUGUCACCUGCCUAGACCUACAGACUGAGGAACAGUGAGGGGGGGCCAUACAGCCACAUAACUCCAGGCUGCAGGGUCAAAGGCAGGGAAGGACUGUGUCAGUCCAGGAACAGGCAAAUAGAGAAGAGGGAGAGAGAGACAAGGAGGUGAGAGUGUGGAGGAUGGGAUAUUUGGGGCUGGGAAGUAGGGAAAGGGCAUUCACCUCUUCCAAGGCUGGGGACAGGGCCCGGGGGAGGGGAAAGAGGGCCAGCACAGCCUCCUGACGGUGUGACCCCCACAGUGGGCCCUUCCCAGGGAAAGACUACAGUGAUGGCUGGGGUCUGGAAAGAGGGGCUCGGGCUCCCCACUCUGCUCCUAAUCUUACCUCCUUCCUUCUUCCCCCUGCCCACUUCUGGCAGGGGCCACAGUGGUGCUGAAGUCCAAGUUCUCGGCUGGUCAGUUCUGGGAAGAUUGCCAGCAGCACAGGGUGACGGUGUUCCAGUACAUUGGGGAGUUGUGCCGAUACCUUGUCAACCAGCCCCCGGUGCGUGGGCACAGAUCCUGGGCAGAGCUGCUGACACAGGGCUAGCUUACGGGGAGCAGGACAGUUGACAGGAGACAGGGAGUUGGAGGGAGAAGCAGCAAGAAGAAAAUGGCAGUGUAAGAUAAGGAGCCAGAGAUGGCCUAGGCCAUCUGAUGAUUACAGCCUCUGAAGGAGGUCACAGUAGGAGGGGGUUCUGGGGAAUGGGGAACAGGAAUUCACUUCGGGGAGCGGGCAUCUUGGUGCUGAAGCUCUGGCCCCUCUCCCACUCAUCUCAGAGCAAGGCAGAACAUGGCCAUAAGGUCCGGCUGGCAGUGGGCAGCGGGCUGCGCCCAGAUACCUGGGAGCGUUUUGUGCGGCGCUUUGGGCCCCUGCAGGUGCUGGAGACAUAUGGACUGACAGAGGGCAACGUGGCCACCAUCAACUACACAGGACAGCGGGGCGCUGUGGGGCGUGCUUCCUGGCUUUACAAGGUGAGGGGCAGAGAGGAAACUGAAAACCCGUGGAACAGCAGAGGGCUGGCAGGAGAGGGGGCUCAUGUGACUGCAAUGAUCCAGUACCCAGGUCUCCCUUUCCCCAGCAUAUCUUCCCCUUCUCCUUGAUUCGCUAUGAUGUCACCACAGGAGAGCCGAUUCGGGACCCCCGGGGGCACUGUAUGGCCACAUCUCCAGGUUGGUGGUGUUCUGGUGGGGUGGGCGGGGUGCUGAAGCUAGCACAGGAGGACUGGAAUUGGAGACUGGGGUGGAUGGGGGCAGGAGGCUCUGGGAAAGGUGACAGCACUCCUGACCCUGGUGACUCUGCCAGGUGAGCCAGGGCUGCUGGUGGCCCCGGUAAGCCAGCAGUCCCCAUUCCUGGGCUAUGCUGGCAGGCCAGAGCUGGCCCAGGGGAAGUUGCUAAAGGAUGUCUUCCGGCCUGGGGAUGUUUUCUUCAACACUGGGGACCUGCUGGUCUGCGAUGACCAAGGUUUUCUCCGCUUCCAUGAUCGUACUGGAGACACCUUCAGGUAUCUGUCCAUAACUGGUUCUUCAUCCUGGACAUCUGAUCUCUGUGAUCCAAAGCUUCUGAACCUCAACUCUCUAAUCUGCCACCUCAACCUGGGUCCUCAGCUAAUCUCUCACUCUCAGAUCUCACCAUUUCAUUCCUGUAACACUGACCUCUGACCUCAUCUCCCCACCAAGCCCAUAAGGCCCUGACCCCUGACUCCCAUUUGCAGAUCUCUGCUCUCUGACAGGUGGAAGGGGGAGAAUGUGGCCACAACCGAGGUGGCAGAGGUCUUCGAGGCCCUGGAUUUUCUUCAGGAGGUGAACAUCUAUGGAGUCACUGUGCCAGGUGCCUAGGCAUGGAAGGUGGGGGAGGCACCCAGCCACCACCCCGAAUUGGUAAUACUUGGGCGCAGGGAGCACGAGGCCUUCGUGGUGGUCAGCCAUGGAGGGGCUUACUCUGUCUCCCAUACCCACCAGGGCAUGAAGGCAGGGCUGGAAUGGCAGCCCUAGUUCUGCGUCCCCCCCACUCUUUGGACCUUAUGCAGCUCUACACCCACGUGUCUGAGAACUUGCCACCUUAUGCCCGGCCCCGAUUCCUCAGGCUCCAGGUAACCAGCCACUUCCCCCGCUGGCCGCUCACCCCAUAUAUCCUCACCCCACAUAUCCACCCCAUGUAUCAACUUGGGAGUUUGAUGGCUCCCAAACUCCACAAAGGGACCCCCAACGUAAUACACUCCGUGAAGAGAAAAAACACGGAGAUGCGCGCUCUUCACCCCACUUCUUUCCUUAUCCCUGCCUUCUUCUGGCCUGGCUCUUUCUCCUCUCUGUCACCUCUUCCCCUAAACCUUGACCUCACACUCCCUUUCCCAAGACUUGCUCCUUAACAAAAUUCAGGCAACUCCCCUGAACCACCUGGGGAGAGUCCCCUUCCCUGCAAAUCCCCCUGACCCUUCCUCCUGUCCCCAGGAGUCUUUGGCCACCACAGAGACCUUCAAACAGCAGAAAGUUCGGAUGGCAAAUGACGGCUUCAACCCCAGCACCCUGUCUGACCCACUGUACGUUCUGGACCAGGCUGUAGGUGCCUACCUGCCCCUCACACCUGCCCGGUACAGCGCCCUCCUGGCAGGGAACCUUCGAAUCUGAGACCUUCCACACCUGAGGCACCUAAGGGAGGGACUCUGUGGGGUGGGGGCCGUUGCAGAUGUACUGGGCUGUCAGGGAUCUUUUCUAUACCAGAACUGCGGUCACUAUUUUGUAAUAAAUGUGACUGGAGCUGAUCCAGCUGUCUUUCUGACCUAC